rnacentral:rRNA from 1 species
CCUACGGGAUGCAGCAGUGGGGAAUAUUGCACAAUGGGGGGAACCCUGAUGCAGCAACGCCGCGUGGGUGAAGAAGUACUUCGGUAUGUAAAGCCCUGUCAGCAGGGAAGAAAAUGACGGUACCUGACCACGAAGCCCCGGCUAACUACGUGCCAGCAGCCGCGGGAAUACGAAGGGGGCAAGCGUUAUCCGGCUUUACUGGGUGUAAAGGGGGCGUAGACGGCAAGGCAAGUCUGGAGUGAAAGCCCGUGGCUCAACCACGGGACUGCAUUGGAAACUGUGUUGCUUGAGUGCAGGAGGGGUAAGCGGAAUUCCUAGUGUAGCGGUGAAAUGCGUAGAUAUUAGGAGGAACACCGGUGGCGAAGGCGGCUUACUGGACUGUAACUGACGUUGAGGCGCGAAGGCGUGGGGAGCAAACAGGAUUAGAUACCCCUGUAGUC